AACGAACGCUGGCGGCAUGCCUAACACAUGCAAGUCGAACGAAGCCUUCGGGCUUAGUGGCGCACGGGUGCGUAACGCGUGGGAAUCUGCCCUUGGGUUCGGAAUAACAGUUAGAAAUGACUGCUAAUACCGAAUGAUGUCUUCGGACCAAAGAUUUAUCGCCCAAGGAUGAGCCCGCGUCGGAUUAGCUAGUUGGUGAGGUAAAGGCUCACCAAGGCGACGAUCCGUAGCUGGUCUGAGAGGAUGAUCAGCCACACUGGGACUGAGACACGGCCCAGACUCCUACGGGAGGCAGCAGUGGGGAAUAUUGGACAAUGGGCGAAAGCCUGAUCCAGCAAUGCCGCGUGAGUGAUGAAGGCCUUAGGGUUGUAAACCUCUUUCAGCAGGGACGAAGCGUAAGUGACGGUACCUGCAGAAGAAGCACCGGGCUAACUACGUGCCAGCAGCCGCGGUAAU
rnacentral:rRNA from 1 species